CAUGAGUACACUCUCAAGGCAUGAGCAGCAUCUGGGGAGUUGGGUUCUCAUGCACAAGCACAGCCCUGUGAUUUGCACGGGGGGUGUUAAUUCAGAGAUCUGUCCUUCAAAGCAGGGAAAUGAUGAGGUUCAACCAGCACCUGUGCAGACCCUGGACCUCUACGCUGUCAAGAAAUUGCAUUUUCCCAUGAAAUGCUGCACAAUCCAAACAGCAUUGCAGGAGAGAGACCCCAAAGGGAGUCCUCAGUGUGAAUGAAAGGGACCCAGUAGACACAUACAGCACAGGAACACAUUUGGCGUUAGCCAAACACAUCUAUCUGUAGGUACUGAUACAGUCUGCUUUGGUAGUACGCAUGCAAGCAAACAAGGAAAGAUACAGAAAGUAGAGGCGAUUCCUUGGAUGUCAUGUUUUGCCGAGGCUGUAAAGGGGAGGAGGCAGCAAUUUGUUGGGAUUCCAGCUCAGCACACACAGCCAAAUUGUUGGUACUCAGACGUGAAGGCUGGGACUGUGGUACACAGAGACAGAUUGCGCUGUGCUGGAGAAUGGGGAAUUUAAGGUUAUGCUGAGACGGAAGGAGGGACUUGGAGAGAGAAGAUUAACCUUUCACUGGCCACAAUUCGCUCCCUCUUAUCACAGAGGAUUCGGCAACCCACCCCCCUCCCAUCCAGCCUGUCUGAAUUGCUGAAAGCAUAAUGCUCCCAUAUGAGAGAUAAUUUGCAAGGCACCAGGAUGCUGGUAAAGGGACCCCCAGUUCUGCCUACUCCACAGCUACUGCAAUGUCCAUACAGAGGUGCAGCCACUCAGAUGGUGACAGUGGGACAGCAGCCAGUGCCCUCACAAUUAGCAGCGAGGCCGUUGUACUUCUCAUACACAGAGGAUGCUGCAUAAUGGGCCAGGAAGGCUGGAGCUGAGUCCUAAAAGCAAAAGACACAAAAAAGGGUGAGGCAGCGUUUCCAGAAGAAAAACCGCACUGGAGAGGCACACUUACAAAGAGCAGCCCUACAGCAGCCCUACUCAUUGGCUGGGCAGACGAAGGGCCGGCCGGAGGCUUUGUGGCGAGGCCUCUCGCAGCGCAGCACACCCCAAGGACGCCCCUUCGGCCAGCAUCCUCAGCCAGCAGAACUGUUUUCUCAGGCUUCAAUAUGUGCGGAGAGCUGAUGCUGCCAUGCUGCUUAAAUGGCAAGAUUUUGAAAACAGAAAGCAAAUCAGAAGCACAGGAAAAAUCCAACUGAAUUAAUAUACACCCUACUGCCACCAUUUACAUCCCAUUUUCAAUGUUGGGUCUGCAUCACAUUAUACUGUAGGACCUGUAUUCCUACCUCGGAUCUGACGGACUAGGUCUGAGUCGUCAGGUAAUGAAGAAGAUGGAACAGGAAUUCAUGCUGAAGAGGAAUAUUUGAAGACUGCUGUUCAUUUGCAAAGACACUCUGAGAAGCAGAAAAUGGAAAGAUUGCCUUUGUCUGGCUCUAGCCAAAAUGCUUCAGCUUCUUGUUUCAAGAUCAGGAACAUCAGCUCGGUGAAUAGAUGAAGUGCCUACUCCGCAUAUCCAAGAGAAGCUUUCAGAAGAGAAACCAUCCGGUAAAGGGUAAGCUAUUACUCUGAUGGUUUUUUCACUUUUGUAGGGACAAAUUAAGGUAAAGCACUCUGCAUGGCUAUGGGCUGGUGGAAGGACACAGCCCUGAGCUGCCCUGCCAUUUUAUACCGAGUCAUGCUGCUGCGAAACAAAGGCAAGUGACACAGAGAAGACUGUAGGUAAAAGACUGAUUUCCUUCUCAGGGUUUAAGCCAGGACACUGAGACGAGUCUUAUGUCCAACUUUACUACUCUAAGAAUCGCUCAAAACGGCCCCAAACCUCUACUAUUUCAGCAGCAGAUCCUCAGGUGAGGAGUCCAUUGGCAACAAGCUCCCAGUUAACGGCUUAGCGGGGCAGUGACCACAGUGAGCCAUGAGCUGUUUGGCCACCUUCACAAGACACUCAAGGGGAAAAAGGGAAGACUUGAUGGGGACAGUGCCAGCAGACUAGCUCUUCAAAAGAACAACUUUUUUCCUGGGUGGGGGGAGGAGGGGGAAGUCUCUGGGUUGAACAUUUGACUAAGAAAAAUACAAAUAAGCUGAUCAUAAAUUAACAGUCAUCCCCGUUGUGAGCAUGACCCUGCAUACCUGGCCAAGGCAGGCAAAAGCAGAUUGAUUAAACAACAAAGUUCACCUUGUUUUCUGAGUUGAAAGCUCAUGCUGUUUCUUGGCAGAACAGGCAUGUCAGGGCUGUAAUAACCACUUGCUACCUUGCUUCAAUCAGCGUUAAAACCAGCACAAUAUUAACAUCUUGGGGAAAAUCCAUCUGGAAACUGCUUUCUGGGGGGGAAAAAAAUGAAAGGCUGGUAACGGAAUACCACACCCAGUGUUCAUUUAUUUAUCGAUUUCGUAGUAACUUUAAGGAACCUCAAAUUUCUCCCUCCUGUCACCUGAAAAUUUUGUAUUUCAAACAUUUUCUGUUAAAAUGCAGAGCUGGCUAGUUGUUCAGAAAGAAGUGGCAAAGAAGAGCAGUUCUUCAGCUGAAGGUAAAUUGCAUGGUCUGGCAGAGGCAGAGGUUUGCAUUUGCUGUUUGGUUUUACUCUGGAGGAGGCUUUUGUGCACACACCUCACCAUGAAUCCACGUGGCCGGUACCUUACCUGGGACGAAGCCAACCCAUCGCUCCAGUAACAAGCGAGUGGUCAGAGCAUCCCCAAACUGUGAUCCAGAGCAACCACACACUCUUAGAUGUGGGAAAGCUGUUGUGUUUACACCUUGGGGGUUUGAGGUUGGAACACAAAGAGCUGAACAUUAAAAAGACUGUGAAAAAAUAGUUAGUUUUUGCUGGCAUGGUAAUAUAAAAUUGACUUUUUCUUCUUCCUCUUGAUGUCCUGAUAUAGAGGACAUUAUUUUGCUGCACCUCUUCCUGUUGAAUCAACUAACGUGAUCGCUUCAGGAUUCAGAGGACGCUUGUGCAUGGCAUGAAAAAUUUUAUGUAAGUCCUGUUGUGGGAACAUUAAUGCAAAGCUAACUGGGUAAAUGAGCCAAAGAAAGCCUUCUGUUUAUAGUUUGUGCUGAUCUUUCUUUCCCUUUUUUUUUUUUUCCCUUUUUUUUUUUUUUUCUCCUCUGAAGCACUGUACUCUAGCAUUGAUAAAGCUUGAGGACUAUACAUAUGAUGUACAGCACACAUGUCCUAAAAUCCAUCUCCUCUAUGUGACUGCUAUCUUGUACAGUUGGUUCAGCUUGGAAGCUCGCUGUGCAUGUUUUGGAGACUUUUAGCAUCUCCAAAGUAUUUUUGGAAAGCAAGCAAAUGAAUCAGGGUCUGGACACUGCAUUUUUAAAUUGGCAAAAUAUUUAUCACUUAAUCUGAAAAACACUUUGUUUCAUAGAGCUGGACUAUGAAGAAGGCAUUUGGCUCUGGAUUAAUUUUAGAUUAAGUUUUAGGACCAGGGUGGGCUGUGGGUUUGUGUUCAAUGAUACUUAAGUGUAAUGCCCUGGCUUUCCUACAUCCUGGCCUGUAACUGCGUGGGAUGGUGCUCUGCCAAAUUUCUGUCACCUUGGGCUUCAUUAGCAUGAGAAAACAGACCCUUUUUGGCUUUGUGUCUCACUGAAAAACAAACCAUUGGGGCUGGUUUGCCAGUCAUCUCUUUUGGCCAGUUAUGUAUAGCUGCCUCCUCCACUCAACUUUAAAGGGAUUUGGACAGGAUUUAUUUAGGUUCAGUUUUUCAUUACAGCUCUUAAGCAGGUACCAGAGUGAAGGUUCCUGUUUGCAGUGGUGAACAUUUACUCAGGUAACUACUCCUAAAGGUCUCAAGAGCAUUGGCUAAGUGCUCAGCAGAAUGAGUAGAUAUUUUAUAAUUAAGUCCUUAAUUGAGAAUUCUAUAUUUAAAAAAAUAUAAAAUUCUGCAACAGCUUCCACAUGAAAUAUUACCUGUGCAUUUAAGGGGGCUAGGGGGCUGCAUUCACUUUCUCCAGCUAUGCUAAUAGCUAUUUCAAUAGAUGGAGAUGUAGUAAGUACAAUGCUCCAUAUGGUGAGUGAACCAGAACACUUAAAAACAUUUGCAGAAAGGAACUCGGAACGAGUAACACAGAUAAGUAACUGGUAUUUUUUCUUAAAUGAAGAAACUUUCAUAAGACACAUUCAUUCUGUUGUGGAACAGAAAUAGUGGCACGUAACCAGCAUGUGUGUGCAGCAUGCCUUUUGUCUUCAGCACAAAUACUAUGUUGUUUUUCUGCCUCUGAACCAGCUAUGUGGGGAGGAAGAAACUAUCCUUCCUCCACAAAUGAUUUUGGGAAUAAUUAUGUCUAAUGGGAAAAAAAGGGAAAAAAUAUCACAGUCUGUUCAUGGACAGUGUGAACAGAAAGGAGUUGAGACAUUUGUGGAGGUACUAAUUCAUUAUAAAUUACUCCCAUUUUUUGGGUAGCAACAGUCAUUGAACACAAAUACAAUUCUAUUAAGGGCAGUAAGAGUCCUGACCAGAUAGAAAAAGAGUAAGGCAGUCAGACUUCUGGAAAGACAACUAGACGGGGUACAGCUCGUGCUGUGAUCUCUUCAGCACUGGUGAAAAGAGCACUGUAAAUGUUUAUUUACUUUAGUACUCAUUGGCUUCUUAAAUGAAAGAACUGAUACUAUUUAAAAGCUCUGACUGUGUCACACUGUUCCCCUCCUCUCUGCAAACUGCUGAAGCUGAACACCUGUCCCAAGUUUUCUGCAUUAUUGGCAAAUGCACGGGAGGCGGGUCAGCGCUGCAGCCAGCCAGAGCGGGGCAGAAAGAACUGGCAUCAUAUAAUGGGGGAGGAGUGGGAAACCCUCUGCUGGGUGGGGACCCAGUGCAAUGCCCGCAGAAAUCGGUACAAGCCCAUUCUUUGAGUGCCAUGAUUAUGGACAGGGUUUUAGAAUGGCUUCAUCUGAUAAGGCUAAAAGUACCUGCAGGUUUUUUUCCAGGCCACACACCAAUUAAUGCAUGUAUUUUUUAAAUUUCUGAAUGGCAUGUCAGUGAAAAUCCAUGUUAGUAUGAUUGAGUUCAGUGGAGUAACGCUAGGAGAAAAAUCGGUUGAGCCAAGAUCAGAGGCCAAGUGCAUUUAAAAUUUGAGGCUCCAUGAAGGACUUCUAGAAUCACCCUACUUUUAUACACCCAAACAAGCUUACUGCUUCGGCUAGAAUGAGGUUUUCAUCUCCUUUGGAAUUCUGGGGUAAACUGUCCUUGUACAAUUUUUUUCAGGGUCAAGUUUUAGGCAAUAUUUUGUGCUGCAAUAACCACACCAUGACAGACAACCUUUUCAUCAGAUAAGGAAAAAAUUUUCUUCUUCAGGUCAGUAAGAGAAAGGAACAUGACAAAGCUACAAAUAUAGAAUCUAGAGGUGGAAAUCUUCUGCGUUAAGUACAGUUAUUGGUCUUGUUUAAAUUUUUACCCAAACAUUUCAGAUGUUUAGACAGAGAAGCAAAUAGACACUUGAGGGAAUCUCAGCAAUGAAAGCAGCUUCUCUUUGUUAAAUGAUUCUCUCUGAUAAUUGCUGUGGAAAUUUUCAGAAAAUUAUUUUUAAAAUAUAUAACUGAUAGAGGGAAUUGAAUUGGGUAAACUGGUUACAUGUGCAACCUCUGAUUUGGAACAGAAGCAGCUGAAAACUGAGGGGAAAGGCUGUCCGAUCACAUUUCCAUUUGCCAGGUAAGGGCCAAAGAAACUCAGCAGGGCUAAAUAAAGAUUUUCAGAUAAUAAUUUGAACAUCUUAAUCUGUGAUACUAAAAGAAAAACCCAGUCACCAAGCAACUGAAGUUAGACAUUUAAAUUAUGCAACUGAUUUCCAGAGGUGUGUGAAUACACGACAGUGCCCAAUAAAGUCGGGGAGAGCUGAGGAGGGCUCAGAGCACUGGGGUGGGGGUUGCAAAAGGGAAACAAAGCCCCACAUGAUGGUCUCAGAUGCGUAAAGCUAAGUUUAAUCACUUAAGUAGUGAUAUUUUUAGAUCCUAUCUAUCUCCAAAGGUGCCUUGGACAAUCUUUGCUGCGAGGGUGGUGGUUCUGAGAUCUACAUGCACAUGACAGUUGGGUGAAAAAAUUUCAAUGGCUGUCAGAAACUGCAGUCUGGAUAUUUUGUUCUUAAAAUUUGAACCCACACUUUGAAAUUGUAAGGAUUUUGUGUUGCCAAAGGUUACCAUUGGCUGGAAAGAGUUUUGAACUGUUUGCAUGAAGUGGCAAGUCUCUGGAGGCUCAUCCAGCACUGGGUUAGAUGAAGUCGUGGCCAGGGCACCGCAGCCAGAAGGAUGGUCCUGAUAAGGUAAGAAAGGAACAAAUGUGAAAUGGGGAGAGGGGGGAGAGACUGGUGAUUCAUUGUUAAUCCUAAGAGUUUGCUUACUCACCUUGCCAGAAAAAAAAACAGAGUAGAAGGAGCACAAAAUUUAAUCCAAAAAAUUAUUAAAAAAUAACCUCCUAAUUAAAACAAACUAAUUAAAAUUAACACAGUGGUUCUUUUUUUCAGGCCAAGAAACAAAAUCACUUAAAGGUAUUUUUUUCUGAGUGUCACUUUGGAAAAAUGUGUUCUUGGGGGCAGAGAAGAAUGUCUCUCCAUUAUGGAAGGUUCCCCGUGGCUUUCACUUGGGCAUCCACAGUGCUGGGGUCUGCUGCAAGGCUGGGGUCCGGGGGUGUCAGCGAUCCUCAGUGAGCUCAGAAGCAGCUUUGCAAAGAGCUGCGUUGCUGCACAGUGGUCACUGGCUACAAGUACCAUGCCAGAUGAGCUUCCAGGCUGGCCAGUUACAGUGAAAAAAUGGCACUACCACAAUUUUAAGAUGACAGUGCUAUAGCAAACCAGUCAUCACAUGCUUGAGUUAGUAGCACAAGCAGCAGAUUUAGAGUAUUAUGAAAAUAUAUGCAUUCUGAAAUGCUGUGAAUUAUACCAAAUAAUUCUGAAUAUCCCUUUUGCUAUACUAAUGAAUCAAAGCAGAGCUUACCACAUUAUCUGUAAUCACCAUGGAGAAAAUGGAUCUCAGUGUACGUAGCUCCUGUAUAAAUAGUACGUCCCCAGCACAUUCUUUAAGUAAGUAGCGUCUUGAUUGCAUAAUAAUAAUAAUAAUAAAGAGAGCGGUGUCCAGCUUGCACACAGGCCAAUUAAAGUAUCAAGUGCAUGAGGCUAAAGCACUCCUGACUGGGGAAAAGUCAGGAGGGAGGUGUCCAGCUUACCAGUGCGCUCACCUCUGUGACUUUGCCUCCCGACAGCCCUUCUGACAGCAAACCAUGGAGUCUGGAGACCUUUUUCCCUGAAUCCUUGACAGAAACAGGUCACGGGGACAGCAGAGUCUCCACCACUUUACAGUCUCCUGGCAGAAACCAAGGAUGUCGUGACUGCAGCACUGAGGCACAACUUUGCCGUUUGGGUGAAGCCUCAGCACUCGAGUAAUUAUUGUGCCUUGCAGCUUUGCUGGGCUGGAUUUUCACUAGCUGGAGGGACCAGACCUGACCUCCACUGCAUGCCACAGGUAUGCUUGAGAAUUCACGGAAAGCGGUGAGCUGGCGGAAUGUUGUUUACAGGGUGGCUGGAUCAUAUGUUUAUGGCCUGAAAUAGGAGAUCCCAACCCAGACCACUUUGUUGGUUUCCAAUGGUGAGAGGCAGAAUAUGAAGAUCAUAUAAUUCAUGCUGGGGAGUGGACAUGAGAAGAGAAUGUGGGCAAAACCUGGCACAACCCACAGACUCAAUAGUUGUCUUGACAUUAAUGAUGGCUAACGACCUAAUACCAGUACUAAACACCUUCAGAUUUAAUACAUUCCACAUUCAGCCUGUAGAAACUCCCUUCACAGAGAUGGCCCAGAAAAGCUAAAUGAUUUAGAUACUAGGAUGCUAGAAUUAUACCUUGCUAACAUCACUGGCAUAAAAGCAGCAGAGGAGUAGGUGCCCUAGAUCCCUGGAGAUAGUCAUUUGCCACCCAAAAGGAACGUCUAGCAGUUCCCAAAAUUCAUAAAAUAUUUUUGUACCCUCUGCUCAAGAGAAAUGGGUGGUCAAGACUGUACCAGUAUGGCUGGAAGGACUCUUCCACUUGAGCAUUGCUGCGGCAGAGCUGGGCAGGUGGCUGGAAACACACCACCUGUGCUGUGAUUGCAUGGGCACAUGCCAGCCUAGACACACGCAUACUAAUGCACUGCUCAGGCAGCCUUUUUGGGAGGAUAAUUGUAUGCCCUGCCUUGAGCAUCAUCGGGAAUGGGCCACUUCAGGGAAUGAAUCUGCUCUUCAAGAUACAGCCACUUAUUCUCUUCUCAGCACUGCAGAAGGGCAAAUGUCCCUGGUUCAAGCCUUGGAAAUAAUGAGGUAAAAUGGACUCAACACCAUUAAAACCUCCCCAAAGACAGGACUAGAUAUUAGAAUAUCUGAUUGGAAAAAAACAACGGACAAACACAGCUUGCCUUGGCAGGACCCCUCUCAAAGAGAUGUGGUAAAAGCUCCCUGGUCACGGAAGGAGAGCUGGGAAUUAAACGUGAAGUAGUCCACAGGGAUUCUAGAAAAAAAAAAAAAAGCCAAAACACAGCUAAAGACACUGACCACACUGAAAAAAAGGGGGCCCUGCAGGCGGUUUGCCACACUGCAGUCAGAGACUAGGGUUUUCCUUCUCCCAACAGAAACAAGCAAAUGGUAGGACAAUCUGCUGUUAUCCCCAUUAAAAAGGGGAAAGAAACUGGCAGACAUACACUUAGAGUAAGUAUGGACUGUCUUAAGCUCCAACUCAACCUGCUUUCAGCUGAAAGGAGCUCACUUUUAGUAUAUAUUAACUUGCUGUACUAAUGCCAGUUGUGACUAUCAGCCUCACAGCUUGACCACACGCCACAGAAAUAGCCAGGCUCAGGGCCGUUUUGUCUCCAAAUACUUUCUAGAUUUGGCUGCUUAAAAUAGGAUUUAUGUAUAUUUAAGCAUCUAACAAAACACCCCGUUCCAAACAUCAGGGUUCAUCAGUGGCCUCAUUCAUGUGCUUGAAAUAAAGCACGUGCUGAGGGCCGCUGCUGAAUGAAGGUCCGCAUUACGGGGUUUCCAGAAACACGGAGCGCCCAGGUGCCGCUGGGUAAACAGACGGCUCUUUAUUUUGGAAGCCUAUAGAACCGGUGCCCAACUUUAGAUAAUCAGAAUUUUAUCCUCUACAAAGACCGUGCAAAACACAAGUUACCACCGUGAAACCAAGAGCUGCUUUUUAUAUGUUACCCUAACUUUACUGAAUCUAAACUCAAAAAUUUCUCAGUACCUUUGCCAUUACUUUAUAAAAAAAUCUUGUGACCCUUUUAUAAGAAAAAGUACAGGGGGUGUAGCUCCCAUGCCCUGGACACACUUGCAUUUAGCUUGGUUCACUUCCAAAGGCCAUGAUCCAACAAGAUAUUCAAACACCUGUAUAACUUUUAAGUACUUCACUGAACUUUGGCAAAAGUAGGGAAAAAUAAAUUCUGUUAAAACACCGCUUUAUUUCUUUCAAAUCUGAUUUUUUGAGAAUCUUGAAUGCAGUGUAUCAUGUAAAAUAUUUCCUUCCUCAUGCAGAAUAUUUUAAUAUUAAGCCAGAUAUUUUUAUAUUUCCACAAAUUAAAUGCACCAUGGCUGAAGGUUUGACAGAAGCUUUAAUUUGCACAUAAAAAGGUAGAAUGAUUUCAGUUUUGACAGCACAAGCUUUUGAUUUGUUAAUAAAGGCAAUUCUUUCUCAGUUGUGAACAUAUUCCCCAAAUAAGACAAUGCAGUUUGUAACAGAAAAAAAACAUCUUCCUGGCAUGGAGAAUAAACUUUUGAUCCAAAGUUAUUAAAGACAUUCAGAUUUUACAAAAACAAAAGAAUGGAACUUUCACAUGCAAGCUUUAGUACUAACAGAACAAGAAUCAGAGGAAGAUUCACGUUCCUGCCACAUUCUCUAUACCUAUUGUUACUAAUGUAACCUACCGUCAAUAUACUUGGGUGAAGUUCAUUGCUUGGAAGUACCUGCAAAAAGUUGAAGUCAUUUUGGGGGCUGAGGGUGAGGAAGCUGUGUGUCUGGGAAUGGGUUUGGGGAAAAUCAACACAGAUCUGCCUUGCAAUGUCCUAAUCAAACUGAAACGUAAGAACACUAAGAUUUCAGACCCUCAUGAUGAAACAGAAUUUGUAAACCAAGAUAUAACCAAGGGAACUGGAGGCUAAGCUUUCAGACUGACCUCCUCUGUGCCCAUGUCAGAGUCCUCCUUUACUCCUGAGAGACUGCAGAGGAGGUGAGAGCGUGGAGCUCUGAAGCAGUUUGAGCAGAGCCAGCUCAAGCAUGGAAAAAACCCAUAAUGUUUGGAUUUCUGAUCUCAGAUCAAACAAAUUAUUUGAAACCUUUCCCCAUGUGACAGCCAAAACCUGCAGCAUGGAAGCAAAGCUGGAAGAACCCAGGGUCCAUUUUGGUAUAUAAGAGGGUAAAGCAGUGCCUGCCCACGGGCCUGCCAAGUGCUCAGCUUUUUCACAGGCUCAGCAAGUGCUUUGCCCUGGUAUCAGAAGCUGACUAAAGCUGCUCAACAAGGUGAGCGAUGUGUCCAAACAGUUUGAAAUACAAACCAGCCAGUGUUGUUAUUACAGGCCCACCACUUUUAACUCUGAGAGUAGAGACUAAUCCUGACCACCAGUACGUGGGCUCCUGGAUAUCACUUGUGUGGGCAUGGGCGAAGCAGCGAGCAAACUGCGCAAAUAAUGCCUGACGUAAGAUGUAACGCACCUCCCACACAUUGCUAGAAAACUCUUCCUGGACAUCUGCAGCCAUGGCACGGAGCUGUUGACUGUCUGUGUCACUGGAGAGAGCGGUUACUUACAGAUGAUUGGCAGCAGCAUAUCCUGCUAUAAUGCUAACUAAGCCUGUGACACAGCCUGCUAUCAAUAUUUUACUCUAUUGCAUGUGGCAUUUUGCAGUGACACCAGAUACAGUGCUCUGAGGCUUACUGCUUCACAGUCCUUCCAUUUAAUAGCAAAGUCUCUUGAUGUUUGUAAACUUCUAAGCUUUUGCUGGAGGAAGUCAAGCAGUUCAUUACUAAAAGACAUUUUUGUUUUCCAAAUAGUAUCCCCUCAUGCUUUUCUUUGCUUGCAUCUCACCACAGUUGCCUCCUAAUCCAGUGUUGGUGAAACAAGGCUGAAGGUAUUUUGGUCAUGUUUUCACACUUCUGUUGUACAGUUGCCUCCUUCCACUUUCCUUCUGACUACACUCUGCUUCACAAAUGCAGCCAUCUGGCACAACAUCUCAUUUUUUUGUAUUGACACCUGAGUAAUCACAGCCCUUUUUUCCUCUCUCUCUCUCUUUUUUUUUUUUUUUUUUUUUUUUAAAUAAAGAUAGCGUUUCCAGCUCCAGUGCAUAGGCUUAUAAUAGGCAAGCCACAUGCCAUUAAAGAAAAGCAGCAGAAGUGAGAGGUCACUGGUAUUAAUGCUAGAAAACAUUCAGGGUGAGAUGAGAGAAAGAAAAACAUUCAGCAUUUUCAAUGAGAUUAUCACAAGUCAUCUCCAGCACUUUUUUUCCUUCACAUUGGUUUACAGGAAUGGUUAUUUUAAAACUUAACCAUCUUCAGGUUUGGGCUGUAAAGACGCUAGGCUCGAUCGCUCCGGCAGAAAGGCCUGUGGGGCACCAGGGACAGCACGUGGGACAUCAUAGCAGUAUCGCACACCAGAGCAAACCCAGCCUGGUGUGGUAGGAGCAGCAUUUAAAGAGCACACGUUUCACCUCUGGAUCCUAUUGUUGAAAAAUGAAAAUAAUUUGUGUCACCGACAGUUUAGUGGCGCAGUCACCUCUGGGAGUGGGAAUGAACUCGACAGUUUAAUUCUCUGUCUUUACGACAGUCGGCUGUAAUUCUGCUAACUCCAAUGGGUUCAUGCUGGGAAGGGAUUUCCCUUUCACAGGGUUCAGUGCAUUGGUCACGUCUGAACACAGUUCUUUAAGAUCACAACUCACAAUACUAUUAAGUCAAGCAUCAAUUGAGCCCUGCCUUCUCCCCCCACCCCAACUGGAAAGAAGUAUUUCCAUAUAUUGUGUGUAUGAAAUAUACUUCUAGAAACUGAUGGCAAAGUUGUGGCUCCCAAAAUUCAGAAGAGUCUUACCACACAUUGCUGUACAGCCAAAAUUGCAUCCCAAGAGUUUUUUCCUGGCCUUGUCUCAAAGGACAUCUUUCAGACCUACUCUCUCCUGCUAACACUCACCUUUCCCAUGCUAGAAAUAAAUUUGACAACGCUAACUUGAUCUCCACCUGGCUGCCAUCUCCUCCACACAUCUGAUCCUACCCCUGAACUCUAUCCCUCUUGAAAUAAAAGAUGGCCACCACCCUGAGGACCAAGUGACCUGGAAACACUGCACAGAGAUAUAUGAGCAAUGGAGCAACUGUGCCAAAAGAAACUCACAAAUCACAUACUCCGGGCAAUGGGACAACUGGCAGAAAGACAAAAUAAAAUGACUGCCUCUACCUCUCUCCAACUCCCUCAGCCGACACCACGACAGUCUGCUGCUGAAGCAUAUCUGCAUCAGCUAAACCUGCUGUUUCUCUAACAAACCUCUUGCUACGGUUCUUCAAAGCAAGAGGAAUUGGGCCAGCCAAGGUCAGGACGGUGCUGUGAGCCAGGAGAACCAUUUCCUACCAGCUCAACAAAUACCCAAGGACAGAGGAGCAGAAGCAGGCACAGGGGUAAGGGACAGAUUCCAAGCAGCUGCCCUGCAUGCACCUACCUGGCCACUCCCUUCCAGUAGCACGGCAUGUUUGGAGAAGAAGCAAUCACCGCAGCACCUGAAAUAAAGACACAAAUUCUCAGGCACAACAGCUGAUACCCUAUCAUUCAAGUUGUCACAAACCACAGAUGUCAACAGUAUGAUUUUUGCUGUCAAUAUCAAUUUGGAAAGUGCCAUUGAUAAAGUGCCAGUACAGUUCAAUAAUGUUCGACUCCACAGACUGAAUGUGCACUGAAAUCCUUGCGGUUUUUUUCCCCAUUUGUUUUAAACAGACUUUUCCGAUAGACUCUAUCUCUAGGGGCAGGCUAGGCAAGCGCAGUGGGCAUCUGUGCCACAUCAGCUCAGUGUCUCUUUGCUUUAGUGGGUUAGCAAAGAAGAUUUUUUGAUGCUACGAGCAGCGUCCCCCCUGUGUGAGUGAUCAGCAGGGGCCACAGCAUGCUUUUUGGAUGGAUUUACAUCUCGUGGAGAUGCCAUAGGGGAGGGAAGAAGUUUGACCUAAAAAGGUCAGUCUAGACCCUAUCAGGAUCCAAAUGCAGACUCAGAACCAGGCUAGGACAAUCUGGACCUGGUUUUGUGAGAAAUACCUGUGAGUUUUUCAAAAUGCAGCCACCUGGAAGAUUCCCUUCUUCACUUUCAACUUGAAAAGAGAGAUGGAGCAGUUAAUGGGGGAAAAGAAAGGCCAUGAAAAUUAUAAGCUCUGUAAAAAGUUUCUUUGCAAAUAACAGUUUAACACUAUGAAGUUAGUUUAAAAUGGUUUCAAAGUCUAAAAUUAGUUACAUUUUAAACUAACAGCAUAUGCUUUUAUUGUCUCUGAUCUAAAAUAUAAUCCCAGGAGGCUGUGAAAAGCAUGCAAAUUACAGAAAGCUAAUUUGCUCCAACAGCGACACCUCCCAUGUAGUUGGGAGGUCUAUUAGACCUCGUGUACUCUCCAUUAUUUGCAUAUUAAUAGCACCUGCUGAAAUACUUUGGGAUUUACUUUUCCUGCCAGCAGAGGGACAAAACAAACAAAGAAUUUAUAUAAAAUUCCCUUCAUACAGAUUUGAUGAACAAUAAACUAUUUAGACAGCACUAAGAAUGCCAAAUUAGUGAGACAUUGGGGUAGGAUUGCAGAUGGCAUCUGUGAUUUACAGAGAAACUGGACUGCAAGUUUGCUUAAAAAAAAAAAAAAUCACAAACCAAAAAAAAAACCAAACAACAAAAAAGCCCUCUCUGGAAAGCGCUGGGUAAUUUGAAAUCACUCAGUUGGCUCAAGUCUGAAGAAUGGAAAAGUUUAACUAAAGAAAUCCAGAUACUGCAGCAAGAAAAAAAGAAAAAUACAACAAAAAACCCCUACACAUCCACAACCACUGAAAUCAGAACCCCCCAAAGUGGACCUUGAUUAAAAAUCUACAAAACCCCAGGCUUUGAUAUUAGCCAGGCCUGCAAGGCCUAGUCUCCUGCACAUAAAACAGAAAAUAAAUUAAAACCAGCUACAGCCUAAGAUUUACUUAACAACCCAACUUCCAAUCUCUGCUUAUGACCACUGCUUCCCCUUCUGGCCCCCUAACUAUAAAAAAAGGCCCCUUGUAUAUUCCUAUAGCUCAUCUUCUUCAGGGUAAGGGUGAAAGCAGUUUCUUUCCACAGUAGCAAAUGGAAAAAGCUCACUUCUCUGUGCAAAGCUGAGCCAGACCCCGCAGGCGGGAUGCAUAACACAUGCCUCUCUCUGCAGAGCGGACUCGGGAAGCUGACCAGGGAGGCCGGGGCAUUCCCCAGCACCUCUUUUUCCAAACAGGCAACUGGUAUUCCUAAAGAAGCACCAGCCAUGUACUCAUAUUCCCUUCAAGAGCUGCAAGGGGCCUAUAUUUCUCCCCACUUUUUAAACCCACUGCUUUGAUUCUGAUUAUGCACCCUUUUUUAAAUAGGCACUGAAAGGCCCACUAGAGUUAUUUACUGCUGGUGUGCAGAAUUUCUGUAGCAUUUUAACUACCUUCAUAUUCCCAAAUGAAGAAGGCAAUUGACGUUAAGUUCAAAUGACUAAAUUGUUCUCCACAUAUUAAAAAAGCAGUGAAAGAGCUUUUCAUGUAGGACAAUGAAGCACGGAAAAGUAAUGUUUUUAGCAGCCUGGCCAGUGCUCUGCUGGGAGGGUGAAUCGAGAGUCUGUCCUGAGCAAGGGCAACCUUCAGCUGCCAUCCUGGCAAAACCUGGCAGCCACCUUCCUCUGUGGCAGCAAAGCCCCCAACUCUGUCCCUGCGCACUGUGUGACUCCUGUGUGAGGGGGUGGAGAGAAGAAGGGACUGUUAUCAGGAAAUAUAUUAUUAUUGGCCUCUUCCCUCUUCAACCACAGGCAGAGCUCGGUAUCUCUUUUGGCUCUGCACAGCCAAAUGAGACCUAUGAAAAACUUGCUUAGUGUCAAUUGUGAUUACCGAAGGAGGCAAUCAAACACUACAGCAAUGGGGACCCCUGAAAUGCUACAGACAGGCAACUCCCACCAUGGCUGUCAACAAAUGCUAAUUCUCAUUAAGGUGUAUGUAACUCUUAAAUGCUGCAACAGUGGUAGCUAUUAGUAUUAGCUGGUAGCUAGUUAAUAAUAAGUAGUAGAACUAGUUAGCUGCAGGAUGGCAAGCAGAUGCAGAUCAGAGAACUCAGCUCUGAGCUUAUGAUCACCAUUGGUGAUAGUAUUCAGCAUAUUUUUGCAUAGCCAAGAACCUCUAAAUAGCUGGAAGGGAAACAGGUUACCAGAACGGUUCCUGGGAGGCUUCAGUGGCUCGGGGCAUUGAGAAGCAAAGCUGUCUCUUUAUGUUUAAGAUACUAGCUCACAACUGUUAAGAACUGCGUGCUGCUAUCAUUCACAUAGAUUCAGUGCCCUGUAAAAAUCGGUUUGCAUCCCAUUUCUAGAAGAGGAGGGCAGGAUCCAGCUCCUCUAACUUUUUUGUGUCCAGCAAUCAGUUACCUGCUGUGGGCUCGUCAUGGUUGCUGUGCUUCAGGGAUGGCAAGAGCCAGCACGGCGCCUCGGUAGGGGAAGUGUCUCCACCAACAGAGAUAAAGCCCAGCCUCAACAAGCAGGAGCUGGUGACCCAAAGUGUCUGCCCCAGUACAGGUUUUCCGGCUGGCACUUUGUGUUUCAGAGAGGCGAAGGCAAGUAGAAGCGUUCAGAGGGACCUGUGCUCUUCCAGUCCUAUUACCUCUGGGGUAUAGCAUGGCAGAGAGACACGCACUGUUACUGCCUGCCAGGUACACAGGUAAAAACCUCCCGUGCUGCCACGCAGCACUGCCUCAGCCUUUUUGUAAAGUGUUCUUCCAGUCACGGAGAGCCAUGGAUUUGUAAUGACAGCGAUAAAAACAAUAAUAAAAAACCCCACCCUGAAAAGCAAAACCCAGGCCAUUACCUAUUAUAACAAAUUGAAUUGGAUAUUCCUUACCUGAAAUUUCAUGAGCAAUUAGCAAACAGAAUUAUCCACAAAUGCAUGUAUGCCCUAUUAUCCUCGUAGCGACUUCAGCAGCCACGACGUUACAAGCUUGCAGUUUGCUAUCUAGCAGCUCUAGCCGCCUCCAAACCACAGCUUUUUCUUCUUUCUUUUUUUCAACAUGAAGUUCAUGGCAGCCAGUGUUCUACCACCUGCACACUGGGGGAGGAAAAAAACAAGGGGGAGAGGAUCAAUAUGUACAGUAUGUUUAUAUUCAGCAAGAGCAUGUUGCAGAGUGGGGAGCUGUGAUGUGUGUGUUUGCAUUGUCUGUGAAAGGAUCCUUAAGUGGCACUGCAGCUGGAAAAAUAAUGGAAGAUCAGGGGACUGUCUUCAGUGACAAACUUUUAUCUGGUAAGUUACAAUUAUAUCGUAGGAAAUGAUACCUUAGACCGCAACUAAUUUGUGAAUCCCAGGAAAGGCAGAUCACUGAUUCUUCAUCAGGGCUGCAGAACCCGAUCUAUAAAAAUUUGGGCCCCAGCAGGAGGUUGUGUGUAAGUGUGAUUUACAUUUCAAUUCUUAGUCCACCACAACCUUUACAUUUUCCUGCAGCACUAUCACAAUGGAAAUUUUUGUUCUCAGUGUGCUCAAGAUACAUAUUAAAAAAUAAAAAAUCCUGGUACAAUGGAAGUCAGUUGUUAAUGGGAAAGAAUGUGGCAUUUAUGCUCAAAUUGUUUCACAAAACACCAUUACAUCAGAGUCUUUCAUCAUUUUACGGGGGACCUAGUCCCCCGACACCAUCUUCAGGGACUUCAUGUGGUGCUUGCCACUAUCAUUCCACUUGCACAGACACCCCAGCCCUUUCAAUUUUUAUCUGCUCAGAACCCAGAAUAUGUUACAUUAUUUAGUUUUUGUAAGAAGCUUUUCUGUAUGAAGAAUUCACAACAAAUAAAAGCCAUUUCCCUGAAAAAAUGAGCUUGUGAGUGACGGUUAAGGGAAUUUCGGGCAGACUCCCUUUACAGGAGGGGCAGCAGCUCUGCCAUCCUUCCCGCUGACUGAUGGCACAGGUCCAACUGAUCCUACAUGUAGCAGCCACCAGCACUGGCAACAAUGGCACAAGGCUCACAUAUUUCUCCAAAAAUCUUGAUGGGUCAGACUACAAACCCUGUAUAUGUGCUGGAGAUGAAUUAUUCACAGUAACAGGAGGGCUUCCCUGUGCCACCACUGAAUCAGGGAGACAAGUUUGCAGAAAGGGGAAAAAAAACUACUCCUGACUCCUUUAGCCAAGGAAAUGUUCCACGUCAAAAGCUCACAGCCUCUUAACCCAGUGUCAACAAAGACAGGUCUUCAUGCCCUUCCUGUGUGUUUGUGAAGCCAACUGAGCCAAACUCUUUGAGAGGAAGCCAACGUGCAGAGCCGUCCACAGGCCAUAGAAGAUGAUUAUUAAUGUGCUGGCAGAGCUCAGAUGCCUCUCCUUGCCGCAUAUGGAGCCAGGUUUUGUCCUAAAGAGCUACAUAUGACCAUGAAUUCAAAUUUACAUUUAUUUUGGCAGUUUGAUACCUGUUUUCCUAUGCACAGAAUUUUAUUGCCACUUAUUCAGAUAUGGCUGAACUCAGCAACCCUUUCCGGUGACACGUUCCCCAGCUGAUUGAAUUUCCAGGCUCCAAAACUCAAAGCCCAAGUAAAGGGUGCAGGAGUUUGUCUACCACCAACAGGAGAACACCAAACAUGUCCAAAUGCGCUUCCAAGUUUCUUUCUGCUUUUGCUGUUACUGGGGUUGAUAGGAGCUUCCUAUUGACUUCAGCAGAUACAGGCUUAAUGAAGGACAUUUUUUCUACCUAUCUCAUAAAGGCACUUUCCUUCCCUCACUCUAAUUUGCCAUGUUGGGACCCAGCGAUUUGUUUUAUUGCAUAGUGAUGCCUGCUGGCAUUUGCAAGACUGCAGCACUUUCACCGUGAACUUUCAUACAAGCUGCUCCCCUAUGACAAAUGGAAAGCAAAUCUCCACACUGAAGGUUACGGCUCUUCUUGAAAUGCUCUGACUAAAGUGUGUUGUUCCAUAAGGAAGACGCCAAGCUUUGGAGAAGUUACCCCCAUAUUUGAGUACCUGUUUGGGGGGGUGGGGACGGGGGACAGGGGAUGGGACGGAACACGGACUGGGGCUGAUUCUGCAAUAUAACAAGACACUGACUCUCUGAGGCUUCUGACCUGGGACACCCCAAACAAUCACUUGCUUUUCGAAAUGUUUGUUUUCACUCCACUGAGUGUCUGAGUGCCCAACCAGAGUAUUUCAGACUGAAAAAGAAGUCUGGUCCUGAACUUCCUGCUAAAAAUAAAAACCUUUAUACAAAUGAAGGAUAAAUAACUUUUCUUUUAUUUAAGGACACUUCCUUGUUAAGAGCGCAGAAAGCAGUCAGAAGUACAGAUCUUACCAACUGCUCUUCAACUUAACAUCUCUGGCAUUCAAAACAUACAACUUCUGUGUUUGUACUACAUUUCCCUAACAGCUUAUAUCGAGGCCAAACAGACAGCAUUCUGCAAAGGUCUUCUAAAAUAAGCUGAUUUAAAAGAGCAAGGUCAAUGCCCAACAUAUGUCAGAUUCUGUGAGUAGAAAUCAAAGAGUUAGGAGCAAAUGGAGUAUGUCAGAGCUCAGUGGUUUUCCAUGCCAGGCUCCUUCACCAAGUUCACGUUUCUGCUGCCAAAAACAGUAACAAUCCCAUCAUAUGAGCUUCAGCUUUGGAAAAGUGUCUACAGAAAACCUCAGUGUCUGUACGUAGGCUACUUAGCUCGAUAUAUGAGACUAACACAUAGAUAAAUGUGUUUAUCUGGACUUGCUGUUUAUUGUCUCUACAACUAUAUUUUUCUUUUAAUGGGACACAUGCUGACUCCAUGCCUUAGCCCUAGGCUCUAUUAAAAUCAGAUUAAAAGCAUUAGUAAUGUAGUUAAUUUAGUUUAUAAUAUGCCUAUCAAGAAAAAAGAGAACAUCAAAAUAGAAAAUUUUAUAUAUAUAAAGGAUUUAAGAUUUUUUUUUAAAAUAUUCUGCUCCAUUUUUUAUUUUUGAAAAAAAAGGGCAUUUUUAAAAAAAUAGAAAAGGAAAACUUUUUCCUCUGUUCAGGUAAAGUAACUCUGUCUGGUCUUUUAAAACAUGUCUUGCAGAAUGAUAUUUGUGAUUUCAAUUAAAAUAUGCUAUUGUCACUUUAGCCUCCCUCUUUGGUAUUUUAAAUUGGUCCUAAUGGCUUUGCCUUAAGUGAUUUGCGUCCCAUAGUGAAUCCCUGUCACUUACAGCACCUCCCACUAUUGCCCUCCCGAAUAAUCACUACCAGAUAAUCACUUCUUCCCCCUUCUUCCAACGUUAUUGCUCGCUUCCCCUCUGACUCCGCAUGCUCGUGCAGUCUGCAAAGUAUUUGCUCUUUAACAUCUUUAACAUAUGGCUUGUUGCUCUGGCACACAACAGUCAGGGAUUUUAAAGCAGGAUAAAAGCUGCAUGAAAAAGGCCAAACCAAUGGCUCUACAGGUAGGCUUGUAUCUCUGCAUGGCCUGUUUUUCCAGGCGGCAAACCGGAGAGUGAGGAAAGGAAAAGCAAGAGAGGAGUGGGCACCAUACUCGUAGUUUAGGGGCUGGCAGGUGCUUGUGCAGCCCAGGUCCACUUGCUGCUUUCUAACAGCCCUGUGAGAUGGAGACCGUCUGAGGUGAACCUGUUUAGGAUUGCAAGAUUUCCAUUGCAGACUUUCCACUGAAAAGAUGCCGUCAGCCCCUAAAAGGCUUUGGUUGAAAGCUAAGAGCAGAGCUGCCCUCGGGCCCUGCGUGCUCCUUCAGUGAUCCCUCACCCACCCUGGUACCCACAUAAGGACGCACACAGAACCGCAAGCUUUCUCCUUCUGAGAGGAGGAUCCUUUCUCCUUUGCCUUUCAUGGAUCUCAUUAUUAAUUGAAGAAUCAUUUGGUUUGCAUAAUUGUCCUCUGCCAUACGCAAUUCCAACCUUUCUCUUUAAAUUGGCUUAUUAAACUAAAUACAGUCUUUUGUUUUUGUGACUCCAUCUAUCAAAGCUUCUAGAUGGACAGUCAGUGCGAUGUGAAGGAAAACCCCCAAACUAAUAAUAUUAGGAAGCACCUCUUCAUGUACAUUUAUGAGAUCUACCACCAGGUGACUCCAUUCUAAAAUAUCUGUAUUUUCAUAAAACAAAAUGCUUUAUUUCCUACACCCUGAACAUGAUUAUGAUGCCCCCCUCCAUAAGAUGUAACACUGAAAAAAACAGUGUUAAAUGAACAGCACUCUUACUUAACAUAUGAACUAUUUCUCUUUGAAUAGCACAUGAAAUUGUUUUAGAGACAGGGAUUUCCAGAACAGCCUGAUCUGUUCCUGUCUAAUCAGACCUGAUUAAUUCAAAUCAAACUGCAAACCUCAGUUUUAUUUUGCUUUAAAAACUCUAGAUCAACAACAAAUCAGCAGUAUGUAGAUAUCACAGAGGCAGUUAACACAGAGAGCCUACAGACACAGAGUCUCGUAGAGUCAAAUGGAUAUGAUUAAACAUUGGGAAUCAUUUAUUAAUAUUUUAUAUAUUCAAAUAUAUACAGAGCAGGUAGGACCAGUUAGAGGGAUACCCUUUCACAGGGGACUUUAUUAUAUUUAUGCCUAAGAACAGGAGAUCCAGCUCAGGUGUCAAAGGGUGUUUCUUCAAAAUAUAGAAAAAUUAUUAACAAAUAAUAAGGUUAUGUGGGAGGGUUUGUAGCACCGAAGUGCACUAAAGCAUGCAAUGAUCUACACAGGUAAUCAAAGUGUUCCUGUGAUACUGAGCACAGCAGAAUAAAUAAAAUAAGAUAAAAUAAAAUAAAACAAUCUUGCAAAUGCAAGAUUGCAAAUGCAAAAUAGGUAGCCAUACAAGAAGUAUUUCAGAGAUUUACUGAGUCAUUAUUUCUGUGGAAUGUGUACCCAGAGAGACUCUCAGCCCUGACCAGUUUAAUCCACGUCAGACCAGGAAGACACAGGGUCAGGAGGCUGAAUGUGGAUUUGGGCACUUGGCACAGCUGUUUUCCUUAGGUGCAAUACACUUGUCACUAGUGGUGGCACUUUGCAUUUGCUGUAUGGCAGCAUAUGUGCUUGCCACAUUUGGGACCCAUUAUAUCUCUUUACCCUGCAGCCACUUCCCUUCCCUUCUCGUUAGCUGCAUGUCCGUAUAAUCUUCCAUAGUCUUUGGCUACAUUGCAAUGCCAGUGCUUUGCCUCCUCUGCUUGCUCUACUGACUAGACAUACUGCCUGCACUCUUCGCAAGCUUCACAAAUUACAACCAUCUGUAGAUGGGGCAGGCUGUUUAUAUAUAUUACCAAAUUUGUACAUAUAUGCACAUGCAUAUACAUACAGACAUGUUCUACAAGAAAGCAUAGCUACUCCAUCAUUGAAACACUUACGUGUUCAGAAAUACUUUUGCUACCAGGAAGAGCACACACAGAAAAAGAAAAGUUGAAGAAUAGCUGAAGAAAUCUUUCAAAGCAUAGUGUAAGCCCAAACUAAAAGCUAAGGUGAAAAAAGGGAGGGGAUGGACUAUACGUUCACAUUUCAGCCUCUGCAAUUUAAAUCAUAGUUACUGCAAUAGCACAGACGAAUUAGUAUAUGUUGAUAUAUUGGCUUGCAAAUAAAACAGUAUCUGACUGCAUGUCCAAAAGAGGUAGUUAAAUGUUUCCGCUUGCUUUGUACAGACAGUUGCACAGCCAGGACUGACCGCAGGACUCAUUCUUGCUCAGUGUUGGGUCACUGCAUACGACAACAACAGUUAAGAAGAAAUUUGGUUGAUGUCUCAUUUUGAGGGGCUGCACUGCCAGCCUCCUAACUUCAAAUACACAGUGUUUCUUACCAGGAUGCUGGGACACUGGUUCAGAAGAAAAAAGUCCCUGGUCUGGAGAGAUGAGCUUGCCCAGGCAAGUUCCCAGCUAAGCGGUGCUCAGGCCCAGCAGAGGCUCUUUCUCGGGCUCCCCAGAGGCGUAGGUGUGCAGCCAACAAAGAACCAUUGAGCUUCAGAUAAAAGAGCUUUGCACACUCUUAAAGAACAUUAAAAAUGUAGCAGCCUCUGAUUCACAGUUUUGUAAAUAUAACUAUGUUUUUGAUGGCCGGUAUUCAGAUAAGGCCAGACCUCCUUGUCUCCCUCCGAACCAGAGCAACCCAGGGUUUGGGAGCUUCAUGCCUGGAUGCAUAGACGUGAGCCAGUCCGGUGGAGAGGCCCCAUGGGAAAUGCAGAUCCCUAUUCAGCUUUUUCUUUCCACAAAUAUGAGCAAGUUUAAAAACUAAAUGAUAAACUCAUGAUAAACCUCCAACCUCCAAACUAUAAUUAAACUGAGUUCUUAAAAAAACCCAAACUACUACUUAGCUUUGGUCUGUUUCUGUUAUCAUUAAAUUUAUAAGUAUUUUCUGAAAAUCUCAUCCCAAGGAAGCAAUCACAAAACCCCAUUAGGGUUAUUUUUACACAAUGGUGAGGACACAGAGUUACCUUCCUGAAGUAGCUCCUGUCUAGCUACAGUGACACAGGCAAACCUUGAUCUGCAUGUGCUAUAUGCCAGGCCUGCUGUUUUUAAAUGCUACUGAAAGGCAGCAGUUGGGAAAAUGAUGUUACAGCCAUGGCCUACACGGGCUGUCAUCUCAGGGAGCGCCAUUUCUCUCGGCAGCUGCUCUCAGCAGCUAUAUCCCUCACCUGACAAUUGCCUUGUUCAGCAACAGGUCAGGCCAGCAAAACCCUUCGCUUACUUUCAGCCUCCCCAGGUAACUGGGAGGGAGUGCGAAUCACCUCUGGCUUUCUCUGCAGCCCCCAUUACAUUAAUGAAUGGCUUUAUAUAAAAAAUUGCUGCUGACAACUAAAUCCUUUCAUAAGUUGUGAUGCUUUUGGACGUGUCCCUCCAUUUUCCCACCCUCUCUUACACAGAUACAGGGAGAAGGCUUAGGAAGGCCAAAAAAUCAGGGGAAUUUUGGCCUUUUCUUUGAAGUGACCAUUUGUGAAGCACGGGAAAUUGGUUUGUUCACUUUGGGAUGCACAGUUUUGAGGCAGUUGACUGGAGAGAGAGAGAGAGCAUCCGCAGAUCAACAAGAGACAGUUUUUCAUCGGUACCCUCUAACGCAAGUGACAUGAAGGAAAAAUCAUAGCUGGGGCAGGAGAGGUGAGAGACUGGAAAAUGCCUGUCCAUUUUAAUGUAAACAGUUACAAUAUGCACAUACAUUUCAUGCCAUCUCACUGCCCUUAUGUCAGGAAUGUUAAGUAGGUAAGAGGCCCCUGGCUAAGCACCGAGAAGUCCACAGCUUACAGCAACGCUCCCCAAGUACAGCCUGUGGGCCUGAGAAGCUUUUGUACGCAACAUGUAAUGGCCUUUUUAAUUGUGGUCAUCCUUGACAGAGCAGCUGAUGGUCAGCAUUACAGUGGUGACAAGGUACCUGGCAGCUGUGCAGGUCCCACUCGAGGGGGAAUUAGGUGACGCUGCUGAGCUUUCCUCCCUGUGCUUUGCACAUGCGAAGCAUGUUGCGUUCCAUCUUCUGAACAGAAAGGUUCUGCAUUUUGGGUGAAUUUUGUUCAGUAGCCCCCCAGCCAUGUCAUUAAGGUGCCCUUCAGGAAUAAAACUUGGAAACCUCCUUGCUGAGGAGCUUGGAACUAAAGAUACAACCUGUAAUCUGGGUCGAGGUUUUAUCAGCAUCAAGAUCAGAAGGGAAAAAGCACUUGUAUGUGAAUGGCCAACUCAACUGCUUGGAGAAAGGAGUUGAUUCAUGCUGCCAAUAUUGGCUCUUACACAGAUAAUAAACUAGACUGGCCUUUUUCCUGACAUCACACUUCAAUCAAAAACUUUCUCACAAAAUGUCACUUUCAAAGUUGCAGCUUUAAAAAAAAAAAAAAGUCUUUAUAAAAAAUUCAUGGCCACAAUGAUCUGAUAAUGCAGCUUUCUGAUACCAGCAGAUGUUUUGUCUAACAUGUUCCCUGAAGCUGUACUCUGUGCCUUCAUAUCUUUCAUUUCCAGUUGCUAUCUGCUGACUGUGGGAUGUCAUGUACGUACCCUAUAGCGAUGCACAGCAAUUCGCAUCUAACACCGCCGUGCGUAAUGAGCUUCACAAGAUGCUUGUCGCAAUAACUCCGCACUUCCCCAACCAUAUGGAACACAACACUCCAAAGCCCACAGACACUUUUUUUUAUUACAGUUCAGAUCCUUAAAACAUAAUCUGUGUGAUGUCUAGUGAAUGUACGUGAAGAGCUGCUGAAAACAAAGUUAACACUUGUUCACAUCAUCUGUUACAAAUGUCCAAUUUGGGACAAUAAAUUUCCUCGGAACCUGUU